rnacentral:rRNA from 1 species
UACAGAGGGUGCUAGCGUUGUUCGGAAUCAUUGGGCGUAAAGGGCGUGUAGGCGGUUUGUUAAGUCAUGUGUGAAAUCCCUCGGCUCAACCGGGGAACGACGCAUGAAACUGGCAAGCUAGAGUACCAAAGAGGGGGGUGGAAUUCCCGGUGUAGCGGUGAAAUGCGUAGAUAUUGGGAAGAACACCGAUGGCGAAGGCAGCCAUCUGGACCGACACUGACGCUGAGGCGCGAAAGCUAGGGGAGCGAACGGG